GAGAGGUUGAGAGGUCUCUCUCUCUCUCUUUCUCUCUCUCUUGCUCUCUCUCUUGCGCUCUCUCUCUCUCUCUCUCUCUAUAUAUAUAGAUAGAGAGAGAGAGAGAGAGAGAGAGAGAGAGAGAGAUAGAUAGAUAGAUAGAUAGAUAGA